CUUUCUAGCAGCUCAGCGGAAAGGCAGCUACCAACCAAGCUCGGAGAGAUUUGAUGCUUGACGCCAAGAAUCACAAUUUAAUUCGGAGCGGAAGCAGCGUUCCCGGAUUCCUUCAGCCCUCAGAAGACAGAGGUCGGCUUCCCUCUGCGAGGAAAGGACCUAAUUCGUUUCUUUAGACAUUGCUGGGGGCGGGUUGGUGCCUGAGUGGAGAGAAAACGGAGCCGCUCCGAGAAGAGGCGCAGAGACACCGAAUCUUCAUUGAGAGGAUGCUUAAAACCCUGGUCUCCAUGACUGCGCUGCUCCUUGUCUCCAGCGGAGCGGUGGACAGGAAGGUUUCUCAGUCUGCUGCGCUGUCCUUCCUGGCGGGGGGCAGGGCUGACCUCCCCUGUAACCACAGUGUCGCUGGCUACGAGAGAAUUUUUUGGUACUAUCAGCGCCCCGGAGCUGCCCCUCGAGCUGUGAUCUCUGGCUACAAGUCCGCGGAGACAUCGGAGCGGUUUGAACUGUCGAUUGACCCCCCCGGCCGGUCCGCCCCGCUGCGCAUCACCGAGGUGGCGGUGGAGGACUCGGGGGUGUAUUACUGCGCCGUGAGAGGCACAGAGAGAGGAAAUGCAGGGCGAGCUGAACAAAAACCUCCCCGAGUCUGAGAGUCCUGGGCAGGAAGAGAAGGAAGCUCACACGGAUAAUCAAAUUGCGGGCUGAGAUCCUCAAAGGGGCCAGGAGAAUGGACGCAUGGAACUCCAGUGAGCAAUAAGCGCCCAACUCCCUUAGGCUCCUUUGAAAAUCUCAGCUUUGAACAAUAGCAUGUAGAAGUUCAUGACUGUAUCCAAAGUGACCCAGAUAAUUGCAAGCCUAAUUUCUAUGGUCUUCCAAUUAAAAAAAGUCUCCGAAGGGUCAAAUUUUCAAAGGUAUUUAGGGACCUAAAGAUCCAGAGAGGCACCUGGAGAGGCUUUAGGCUCCCAAAUGCUGUUUUGACCAGAGCAUCUAGUCAAAGUCUGGGGCCCUGUGGACCUACCUGUUGUGAUAACAGGGUUAUCAGGGACCAUCUACUCUAACCCGCUGCCUACGUGCAGGAUUUGCAUGGUUGGUAACCGAUAUUUAUUUGCUGCGUUUUUAGUGAUUGACCAGGAACGUACAAAUUUCUGCAGCUUUCAAAGCAGAGGGAAUAAAACAGAAGGAAACAGCUUCUCUUGCUAACAGCGCGCUUCCGCCAGCGCUGGCUUUUCCCUGGAAACCGCUGUGCACACAGGCUGCUGCUUGACUUUCGCUCUCCUCUCUGUUCAUGUCUGUUUCCCGUUUCUCAGAGUUCCCUCCCCCCUCCCCCGGCAUCAUUUCAGAGAAAUUCAGGGUGGGGAGGGCUGUGUCAUCAAACAGAACAUUCGGUGUGAUUAUAGUAUAUCCUGCCACGACUGGGGAGGGGGAGAAAUGGAGCACCUAGACCUAGGGAAACUUUUGGAGGAGGCAAGCCAAGGUUCUGGGGAAAAUUGGUCCCUCUUCUCCGAUCGCAAAUGAGCCGCACUGAACUCCCCUCUGUUUACAAUACCCAGUGGAACUCACCCCACCCCCACCUUGGGCAGAUGCUAUUCGGUUUUGUUUUAGGUGUGCGGUCUCUUAAGCCUUUCUUAAAACGAUCUUACCUGAAGGGCACGUUCACAUAUCAGUUUGCACGAGGGUUUAACUCAACCCCCCUAACAAGGUUUUUCCCAGUUUAUAAGGACGCCGUUCCAUCUUUGGAACAUGGGACUUAGACUUUAAGUCAUGAAGGCACUGUUGAAAAUGUUACCCCCAAGCCCCAAAGGUGUAGCUGCACCUGCAGCGAUGUAAUUCCAGAGCAGCUCUGUUGCU